rnacentral:rRNA from 1 species
UACGGAAUGUGCAAACGUUAUUCGGAAUCACUGGGCUUAAAGAGUCCGUAGGCGGCAUGUUAGGUGAGGUGUGAAAUCCCCCCGGCUCAACCGAGGAAUUGCGCUUCAAACCGGCGUGCUUGAGGAAGAUAGAGGUGGGCGGAACUGAUGGUGGAGCGGUGAAAUGCGUUGAUAUCAUCAGGAACACCGGAGGCGAAAGCGGCCCACUGGGUCUUAUCUGACGCUGAGGGACGAAAGCUAGGGGAGCGAACGGG